ACCUGGACGGGGUCGACGGGCAAUCAUGAAGGUCCGUGGCCUAGAUCAACGGCCUCCAUUGCACUCUGGAGGCGCGUUGGUUUACCAUCUCCCCAAGUGGGAGAGUGGACGUCAUAAUUUGUGAUAGAGGGGGAUUCGCGCCUGCGCGGCCCCUGCAAUUUUUGAUAAUUAAAUUUUUAAUGUCUAGGCUACCAACUCGUUCCAGAAGGCCUGUUUCUCUCAGCCAAAGAAGAACUAUCAAAAUUCCAUCGGCGGCUUUACCUUCUCUAUUGCAGAGGCCAUUCUCUAGAUGCCAGUCCAUUCCUUUUUUCCAAUAUUGAUUUGCUCGUGAACAGAACUGGCAUCGACAGAACAAGAAAGCAGCCAGAGAAAAUCAAAAAGCAAACCUAAGAUUGCUCUGAAACAAGCAUAGAUUAAUGAGCUUGCAGAAAUUUUUUAAUGAUAGUAUAAACAUCUUUCAUAUCUUCUCCAAGAUGUUCAUCAGUAUCAAGUAAUUCAAUGUUAAAGCAAUUAACACUUGUCAACCUUCUGCUCAGGUGUAUCAAAACAGUGGAAUUGUUAUAGUUAUGCAGAUUUUCCUGCGAUAAUGGCCAGAGAGUACACAAUUCAGAAAUAAAGAGGUCUUCUGCUGCCUGGUGCAAGCCUGUAGCAGAUACAAUUGCCACACAAAUAAAUAUGACAACGGAGUGCUGCGAAGCUGAUCUCUUAACCUCAGCUAAGUGCUUCUCUUGGGCGUGCCAUGACCAAUAUUCUAUGAAGCAUCUUGCACAGCAUUUUGACUUUUCAAGAAUGAAAGUAAUUGUGUAGCUUGGAGGCAACCCAUAGAUCUUAAAAUCCUAUCAAGAAUGUAAAUGUGAGAACUUGGAAGCCAACCCGUCAACCGUAUGAUCUGUAGUCUCACUUGUUUCCUCCUGAAAGAAUACAAGACCGUAA